rnacentral:rRNA from 1 species
CCCUUAGAUGUUCUGGGCGGCCCGCGCACUACAAUGGCGUGUGCAGCGAGUGCCGAAGUAGAGUUUUCCGAGGUAUUCUUGCAAUGCUCGUUUUGAUGGGGAUAGACCCUUGCAACUGUUGGUUUUGAACGAGGAAUUCCUUGUAAGCAUGGUUUAUCAUCCGACGCUGAAUGCGUCCCUGCCCUUUGUACACACCGCCCGUCGCUCCUACCGAUGAGUCGUCCGGUGAAGUUCGUAGACCUCGUGAUCGCGGAUCACUGGGGGAAGCAAAAUGAACCGCGCGGUUUAGAGGAAGGAGAAGUCGUAACA